rnacentral:rRNA from 1 species
CAGCUAGUUGGUGAGGUAACGGCUCACCAAGGCUUCGAUCAGUAUCCGGCCUGAGAGGGCGGACGGACACACUGGGACUGAGACACGGCCCAGACUCCUACGGGAGGCAGCAGUGGGGAAUUGUUCGCAAUGGGCGCAAGCCUGACGACGCAACGCCGCGUGGAGGAUGAAGAUUUUCGGAUCGUAAACUCCUGUCGAAUGGGACGAACAGAUUGCGGGUGAACAGCCCGUAGUCCUGACGGUACCGUUAAAGGAAACCCCGGCUAACUCCGUGCCAGCAGCCGCGGUAAUACGGGGGGGGUAAGCGUUGUUCGGAAUUACUGGGCGUAAAGGGCUCGUAGGCGGCCAACUAAGUCGGACGUGAAAUCCCUCAGCUUAACUGGGGAACUGCGUCCGAUACUGGAUGGCUUGGAUUUGGGAGAGGGAUGCGGAGUUCCAGGUGUAGCGGUGAAAUGCGUAGAUAUCUGGAGGAACACCGGUGGCGAAGGCGGCAUCCUGGAC